rnacentral:snRNA from 1 species
GUACUGACCUGGCAGGGGAGAUACCAUGGGCACAAAAGUGGUUUUCCCAGGGCGAGUCUUAUGCAGAUGUGCUGACCCUUGAGAUUUUCACAAAUAUGGGAAACUCAACUGCAUUAUUUGUGAUAAUGGUGGAUUGUGUUCAUGCUCUCCCCUG